rnacentral:lncRNA from 1 species
UUCAUAGUUGAAGAUGGAUUCCUAGAAGAAUGAAGAUUCCUACUCAAACAAGGUUCCCUACUUGAAGUAGGAAAGUUAAGCCUAAGUUUUCUAUUUUGGUUUGAUCUUUCCUAAACCUAAAAGGCCUAAGUUCCAGCAACAUUGAAGGCUUCCUAAGCAUUUUUUGACACAAAGUAGAGGUUCUAGACACUUUUCCCUCCCUUGUCGUGCCUUUCCUUGUGUUUUAGGGUUUCUAGAAGCCCUAUCCCUUCACACACAUCCUUUGUCGCACCUAUACCCUUCUAGAAUCCUUUUUCCUUGCCUUGCAAGGCAUUCUAGAAGCCCUAUCUAAUAUGCCGCACCUCUUAGCCCUUUUUCCCUUUAAAUUCUGAUUGUUUGGGCCCUAAUCCUUAU